AAGAGAGACCUUGCUGAUUGGAUGUUCCCGAAAAAGCAGACGCACUUAGAAGAGAUUUCUACUCUGGCUGUCCUCCAGUCCUGCAAGUGCCUGUCAUCGGGUGAACCCAGCUGGAAAUCAGCUGAUUUGGAAGCUGGGAAUUGUAUCUGGUAUUUCUGAAACCACAUCUCAGAUGGGACUUGAAUCCCCAAUCUUUCAACUAAAAACUGCACAACUCAUCCCAGGACUUAAUGAAGCUCAGGUUCUUUAUGUCUCAAUGCAGAAGGAAUUCGGGGAAAGGCAAAGUGAUAGGUAAGAAGUAGAUUUAUUAAAAUAGGAUGUUUGUGAAGGAUACAAGCGGGCAGGAAAGUGGGCUGCAUUUUUCUAAUCAAAGGAAAAGUGGGGAGAGGGAGAAGACCAUCUUCUUGAAAAGAUGUUUCAAGAAAAUGGGGUGUGAGAAGAUAGUCAUGUGCCAGGUCUCAGGUGAGUCUCUGGGAUGGGCCACUAAGAGGGUCCUUGGCUUCUCACAGGAGAAAAUGCAAGAGUGAGCCAUAGUAAAGUGAAAGCAGGUUUAUUUAGAGAGAUACACAUUUCAUAGGCAGAAUGAAGUCCAUUUCAGAAGGUGAGAAUGGCUCUGGAAGACACACCCCCUAUAGGCAGAGUAUGGAUCAUCUCAGAAGGCUAGAGUACCUUGGGCUGUGGGCCUGGUUAGUUUUUAUGGGCUGGGUAAUUUCAUAGGCUCAUAAGCAGGAGGAUUAUUCCAACUAUUUUGGAGGAGGGGUGGGGAUUUCUAGGAAUUGGCCUGUGGAUAUGCUGUGUAGCAUGCUAAUGUUUAUUACAGUGAACAUAUAAUGAGGCUCAAGGUCCACUGGAAAUCAAACCUUCUACCAUCUUGGGCCUAGUUGGUUCUAACCAGUUUAUGUGGUAUCUUCAAUGGCUAUGUCUUUCUUUUCAUGGUUGUGCCCUGCCCCCUUCCCUCCUGUCUCAUUUCUCUUACUGGCAACUAAAAAAUCCUUGACUAAGAUAACAUCUUAAACUAAUUUGAACAAGUGGUUUAAAAAUUGUUACAUAUUUUCUUUCUUACAUUUCCAUUUUUCCUGCUUUAGAAUAGUUAGGAAGAUAAAGACAAUGGAAUGCUGGUACUUCUUUUUCACCUGGAUACUCUUUGUACUGAAAACUUUUGUGUUUACAUUACACUCACUUAGAUUGGGACUCUGAAUCCAUGUAAGAGGGAAGCUCUAAUAAGCAUCAGAACUGACUUGGUAUGAUGACUCAACUCCUACAUAAUGAAGGUAUCUGUGUGCAUCCACAUUAUAAUGUUCUGACACACAUAAGGAGCAUGUGUCACCCUGUCACAAUUUCCUGUUUUAAUGCAGGUUCAUACAAAUCCCAAUCUUAUCUUCUUCAGGCCCUCCAAGCAUGAUUGGAUUUACUCAAGAUCUGCAGUUCCAACUGAUAAAUCCUUAAAGACAACUUGCACGAAUUUGAACUCAUCUUUGUUGCUAAUCUUUCUUCUUCAGGUAUUUUCUUGUCUUAGUGAAUAACACUGCCAGGUACUCUUUUCCAAUCAGAAACCUCAAAACUAUCCUGUUCUUCUAUCCCUCAUGUUGUCCUUGUCCUCUAAUCUCCAGCCACUAUAUCCUGUUGGUUUUACCUCUAUUCAUUCUCUGUCAUCUCUCUUUCAUCUCUUCUGCCCAUGCCCCAAAUCAGACUAUCACUGACUGCCUUCCUAGUUUCCUUGUUUUAAAUUUCACUGUGCUGCUCACUAGUUCAUCCUGCACAUUUUUACUAGCAAGUGAGAUGCUGAUCAUGUUGCCCUCCCUAAAAAAAUUCUUCAGAGAUUCCUUGUUACUUAACAGGGUAAUACUUAAGCUUCUUCCUUAGAUAUAAAGACCCUUCAAUAUCUGUCCCUUCCUCCUUAUUCAGUUCCUACUCUGGUAACUCCUCCCCCUGCACUCAAGCCUCAUGCUUUACCCUCCAUCAGUGCUUGUGAUGUGAGUCAUCUCACAUCUUAUUCCCUCUGCUUGGAAUGUUCUCUCUCCUAUUUCCUUAAGUCUGUGUGGCAAGCUCUCCUUCAACCAUCAGGACAAGGAUUUACCACUUUUGUGAAGCCUUUUCUGAAUUUCCCAGGUAAGGUGCCCCUCUUCCUCUGUGCCCACAUUGAAACUUGCACACCGUUCCACUAUAGCUUAAAAUGCAUUAAAUUUAUUUGUAUUUAUUUGUUUCCUCAUUUGAUUCUAAGGUGAUGGAUCCUGUAUUUUAUGUGCAUAUAACUCCAUAUAUGUGUAUUUUUCAGACACAUAAUCCCCCAUAGCCUAGCACACAUUCUCAGUAAAUAUUUGUUGACUAAGAAUUGAAGAAACAUAAAAGGGAAGG